rnacentral:rRNA from 1 species
UUGCCCUAGUAACGGCGAGUGAAGCGGCAACAGCUCAAAUUUGAAAUCUGGCGCAAGCCCGAGUUGUAAUUUGUAGAGGAUGCUUCUGGGUAGCGGCCGGUCUAAGUUCCUUGGAACAGGACGUCAUAGAGGGUGAGAAUCCCGUAUGUGACUGGCUUGCACCCUCCACGUAGCUCCUUCGACGAGUCGAGUUGUUUGGGAAUGCAGCUCUAAAUGGGAGGUAAAUUUCUUCUAAAGCUAAAUACCGGCCAGAGACCGAUAGCGCACAAGUAGAGUGAUCGAAAGAUGAAAAGCACUUUGGAAAGAGAGUUAAAAAGCACGUGAAAUUGUUGAAAGGGAAGCGCCCGCAACCAGACUUUGCGGCAGUGUUCCGCCGGUCUUCUGACCGGUCUACUCGCUGUCGUGAGGCCAUCAUCGUCUGGGACCGCUGGAUAAGACCUUAGGAAUGUAGCUCCCUUCGGGAGUGUUAUAGCCUCUGGUGAUGCAGCGCGUCUCGGGCGAGGUCCGCGCUUCGGCAAGGAUGAUGGCGUAAUGGUUGUCGGCGGCCCGUCUUGAAACACGGACCAAGGAGUCUAACAUCUAUGCGAGUGUUCGGGUGUCAAACCCCUACGCGUAAUGAAAGUGAACGGAGGUGGGAACUUUUUGUGCACCAUCGACCGAUCCUGAUGUCCUCGGAUGGAUUUGAGUAAGAGCAUAGCUGUUGGGACCCGAAAGAUGGUGAACUAUGCCUGAAUAGGGUGAAGCCAGAGGAAACUCUGGUGGAGGCUCGCAGCGGUUCUGACGUGCAAAUCGAUCGUCAAAUUUGGGUAUAGGGGCGAAAGACUAAUCGAACC